rnacentral:rRNA from 1 species
AGUGAACGCUGGCGGUAGGCCUAACACAUGCAAGUCGAACGGCAGCACAGUAAGAGCUUGCUCUUACGGGUGGCGAGUGGCGGACGGGUGAGGAAUACAUCGGAAUCUACUUUUUCGUGGGGGAUAACGUAGGGAAACUUACGCUAAUACCGCAUACGACCUACGGGUGAAAGCAGGGGAUCUUCGGACCUUGCGCGAUUGAAUGAGCCGAUGUCGGAUUAGCUAGUUGGCGGGGUAAAGGCCCACCAAGGCGACGAUCCGUAGCUGGUCUGAGAGGAGGGUCAGCCACACUGGAACUGAGACACGGUCCAGACGCCUACGGGAGGCAGCAGUGGGGAAUAUUGGACAGUGGGCGCAAGCCUGAUCCAGCCAUACCGCGUGGGUGAAGAAGGCCUUCGGGUUGUAAAGCCCUUUUGUUGGGAAAGAAAAGCAGCAGGUUAAGACCCCGCUGUUCUGACGGUACCCAAAGAAUAAGCACCGGCUAACUUCGUG